rnacentral:rRNA from 1 species
AGAGUUUGAUCCUGGCUCAGAUUGAACGCUGGCGGCAUGCCUUACACAUGCAAGUCGAACGGCAGCGCGGGGCAACCUGGCGGCGAGUGGCGAACGGGUGAGUAAUAUAUCGGAACGUACCCUGGAGUGGGGGAUAACGUAGCGAAAGUUACGCUAAUACCGCAUACGAUCUAAGGAUGAAAGCAGGGGACCGCAAGGCCUUGUGCUCCUGGAGCGGCCGAUAUCUGAUUAGCUAGUUGGUGGGGUAAAGGCCCACCAAGGCAUCGAUCAGUAGCUGGUCUGAGAGGACGACCAGCCACACUGGAACUGAGACACGGUCCAGACUCCUACGGGAGGCAGCAGUGGGGAAUUUUGGACAAUGGGCGCAAGCCUGAUCCAGCAAUGCCGCGUGAGUGAAGAAGGCCUUCGGGUUGUAAAGCUCUUUUGUCAGGGAAGAAACGGCCUGUUCUAAUACAGUGGGCUAAUGACGGUACCUGAAGAAUAAGCACCGGCUAACUACGUGCCAGCAGCCGCGGUAAUACGUAGGGUGCAAGCGUUAAUCGGAAUUACUGGGCGUAAAGCGUGCGCAGGCGGUUUUGUAAGCCUGUCGUGAAAUCCCCGGGCUCAACCUGGGAAUGGCGAUGGAGACUGCAAGGCUAGAGUUUGGCAGAGGGGGGUAGAAUUCCACGUGUAGCAGUGAAAUGCGUAGAUAUGUGGAGGAACACCGAUGGCGAAGGCAGCCCCCUGGGUCAAAACUGACGCUCAUGCACGAAAGCGUGGGGAGCAAACAGGAUUAGAUACCCUGGUAGUCCACGCCCUAAACGAUGUCUACUAGUUGUCGGGUCUUAAUUGACUUGGUAACGCAGCUAACGCGUGAAGUAGACCGCCUGGGGAGUACGGUCGCAAGAUUAAAACUCAAAGGAAUUGACGGGGACCCGCACAAGCGGUGGAUGAUGUGGAUUAAUUCGAUGCAACGCGAAAAACCUUACCUACCCUUGACAUGGAAGGAAUCCCGGAGAGAUUUGGGAGUGCCCGAAAGGGAACCUUUACACAGGUGCUGCAUGGCUGUCGUCAGCUCGUGUCGUGAGAUGUUGGGUUAAGUCCCGCAACGAGCGCAACCCUUGUCAUUAGUUGCUACGAAAGAGCACUCUAAUGAGACUGCCGGUGACAAACCGGAGGAAGGUGGGGAUGACGUCAAGUCCUCAUGGCCCUUAUGGGUAGGGCUUCACACGUCAUACAAUGGUACAUACAGAGGGCCGCCAACCCGCGAGGGGGGAGCUAAUCCCAGAAAGUGUAUCGUAGUCCGGAUUGUAGUCUGCAACUCGACUGCAUGAAGUUGGAAUCGCUAGUAAUCGCGGAUCAGCAUGUCGCGGUGAAUACGUUCCCGGGUCUUGUACACACCGCCCGUCACACCAUGGGAGCGGGUUUUACCAGAAGUAGGUAGCUUAACCGCAAGGAGGGCGCUUACCACGGUAGGAUUCGUGACUGGGGUGAAGUCGUAACAAGGUA